rnacentral:rRNA from 1 species
GCUAAGAAUAUUCCGCAAUGGACGAAAGUCUGACGGAGCGACGCCGCGUGGAUGAGGAAGGCCGAAAGGUUGUAAAGUCCUUUUGUCGAUGAAGAAUAAGUGGUGGAGGGAAUGCCAUCAUGAUGACGUUAGUCGGCGAAUAAGCCCCGGCUAAUUACGUGCCAGCAGCCGCGGUAACACGUAAGGGGCAAGCGUUGUUCGGAAUUAUUGGGCGUAAAGGGUACGUAGGCGGUUAUGUAAGCCCGGCGUGAAAUCCUGCAGCUUAACUGUAGAGCUGCGCUGGGAACUGCGUAACUUGAGUCAUGGAAGGGAAGUUAGAAUUCCAGGUGUAGGGGUGAAAUCUGUAGAUAUCUGGAAGAAUACCGGUGGCGAAGGCGAACUUCUGGCCAAUGACUGACGCUGAGGUACGAAAGUGCGGGGAGCAAACAGGAUUAGAUACCCUAGUAGUCC